rnacentral:rRNA from 1 species
UUAAAAAGCUCGUAGUUGAACCUUGGGCCUGGCUGACCUGUCCUCCUAAUCGAGCGCACGGGUUCGGUCGGGCCUUUCCUUCUGGGGAUCCCGAUGCCCUCCACUGGGCGUCGUGGGGAACCAGGACUUUUACCUUGAAAAAAUUAGAGUGUUCAAAGCAGGCCUUUGCUCGAAUACAUUAGCAUGGAAUAAUAGAAUAGGACAGAGGUUCUAUUUUGUUGGUUUCUAGGACCGCUGUAAUGAUUAAUAGGGAUAGUCGGGGG